rnacentral:rRNA from 1 species
AGUGGGGAAUCUUGGACAAUGGGGGCAACCCUGAUCCAGCCAUGCCGCGUGAGUGAUGAAGGCCUUAGGGUCGUAAAGCUCUUUCGCCUGUGAAGAUAAUGACGGUAGCAGGUAAAGAAACCCCGGCUAACUCCGUGCCAGCAGCCGCGGUAAUACGGAGGGGGUUAGCGUUGUUCGGAAUUACUGGGCGUAAAGCGCACGUAGGCGGAUCGGAAAGUUGGGGGUGAAAUCCCGGGGCUCAACCCCGGAACUGCCUUCAAAACUAUCGGUCUGGAGUUCGAGAGAGGUGAGUGGAAUUCCGAGUGUAGAGGUGAAAUUCGUAGAUAUUCGGAGGAACACCAGUGGCGAAGGCGGCUCACUGGCUCGAUACUGACGCUGAGGUGCGAAAGCGUGGGGAGCAAA